rnacentral:rRNA from 1 species
UACGGAGGGUGCAAGCGUUGUCCGGAAUCACUGGGCGUAAAGGGCGCGUAGGUGGCCUGUGGAAGUCUGCGGUGAAAGCCCGGCGCUCAACGCCGGGUCGGCCGUGGAUACUCUCGGGCUCGAGCUUACUAGAGGCAGAUGGAAUUCCGGGUGUAGCGGUGGAAUGCGUAGAGAUCCGGAAGAACACCAACGGCGAAAGCACUCUGCUGGGCCGACACUGACACUGAGAGACGAAAGCUAGGGGAGCGAAUGGG